UCCUUUGACGUAGCGGCGGACGGGUGAGUAACACGUGGGUAACCUACCUAUAAGACUGGGAUAACUUCGGGAAACCGGAGCUAAUACCGUAUAAUAUUUCGAACCGCAUGGUUCGAUAGUGAAAGGUGGUUUUGCUAUCACUUAUAGAUGGACCCGCGCCGUAUUAGCUAGUUGGUAAGGUAACGGCUUACCAAGGCGACGAUACGUAGCCGACCUGAGAGGGUGAUCGGCCACACUGGAACUGAGACACGGUCCAGACUCCUACGGGAGGCAGCAGGC
rnacentral:rRNA from 1 species